AGUUCAAGGAAGAUUGAAACCGUUCAGGGGUAAACCUGAGAAACCCGAAAGGUCGAAAGGGGAAAUUCAUUCGCGUUUCGGCCGUCGGCGGAGAAUGGUCGUGUGACGGAUGGCUCUCGGGUCGUCUGCGCCUUCUGUUUUUCGAACCGGCGUCGAACGCGUGCACUUUUCCCCUAGUAGGACGUCGCGAUCCGUUGGGUGUCGGUCUAAGGCCCGCGGUGGAGCCCGUGCGAUCGGCUUGCCGUUUCGUGCGGACCCGUGGUGUCCCGGCCGACUCGCUCGACGGUAUACAGAUGGCGCGGGGCCGCUAUUCAGUUAGCGUCCGGCCCGUGGCAAGCGCGCUGGGUGUGCUGGCGAUCGGACCUAGUGCCGGUCCUGGCCCCCAGUGACUGUUGGCCACGGUGUUCUCGGACAGACCUCGUUGAAACGCCGAUCUGCGACGCUAUAGCUUUGGGUACUUUCAGGACCCGUCUUGAA
rnacentral:rRNA from 1 species